rnacentral:sRNA from 1 species
GUUGGGCGCGGUAUCACACGCCUGUAAUCCCAGCAGCUCAGGAGGCUGAGGCAGGAGGAUUGUGAGUUCAAAACCAGCUUCAGCACCUUAGUGAGGCCCUAAGCAACCCAAUGAGACCCUGUCUCUG